GUAAAGCCCAUUUUCUUAUGUUUUAAACUUUUGGGUCAGAUGACAAAAAGGACCCAAGGCUAGUCACUAGUUUCCUUAGAAAACCUUUCUGCCUUUCAUCUUAUCUCCUGAGGUCAAAAUAGUUCACACUUUUUUCUCCCCUUUUUUGAAACAGAAGUUCUGUUAGGACUUGAACUACGUUCUCUUCCUCCAUCUCCUUAAAUGGUAGUGGUGUUGUGUUGUUCUACUGUUGAAGCUUUUUUGCUGAGUUAAUCUCUGUCUAAGUGAGAAACCUCCUUAAAUGGUAGUGGUGUUGUGUUAUUCUACUGUUGAAGCUUUUAUUGCUGAGUUAAUCUCUCUCUAAGUGAGAAACCUCCUUAAAUGGUAGUGGUGUUGUGGUGCUAUACUGUUGAAGCUUGUUUUGCUGAGUUAAUCUCUGUCUAAGUGAGAAACCUCCUUAAAUGGUAGUGGUGUUGUGGUGCUAUACUGUUGAAGCUUGUUUUGCUGAGUUAAUCUCUGUCUAAGGUAAGGGAAGCUAGAACUCAGACUUUUAAAAUGAUUUUCUAUUUUUUUCUUGAGAUUGUGUGUUGGAAUGUACUGGAUUGGUGUUUGUGUGAUAUGGAAUUGAUUGCAUGUUUGUUUGAACUAAAAUUUCUGGGUUGCAUGUGUGAGCAAUGAGAAACUUGUCAAUCUCACCCAAACGAGCAGCUCUCGCCUAAGCGAGAGUAGCAGAAACUCACUUAUGCCUUUGCUCGAGUUAUCACUCAGGCGAGGAGCUUCAAUUUUGAGCGAAGAACAUUCUUGCUCAGGAGAUAAGGUUCCGUUUAAGCGAGAAUUUGCAGAAAGCUCACUGAGCCACUGAUCGAGCUCUCGCCUAAGCGAGAAUGAAUGUCUAGCUUAAGCGAGAGGCUUUUGUCGCUCAAGCGAGACAGAUGAGAUGCAUGAAUAUGUUUUGUUGUUUGCUCUCUUCUCUGAUUUGGUUGUUUAUAUGUAUGAAGGACAAUAUUUCACAUGAUUUGGUUGCAUGAAUAAUGUAUGAUGAGGUUCAUGAGUAAUGUGGUAUGUAGGACAAUAUUUCACAUGAAUGACAUGAGAUGAUAAUGCUUUGAGAUAACAUCUAGAUCUGGUGUGAGAACAUGUAUAUGGUAUGAGCUAGACGUAAUUUUAUGAUAUAUUACUCAGAUGAUGGUGAUGUUGCUGUCUAGUUUAGAUGUUUAGUUACACAUUGUGUUAUACCUUUGAUUUUCCUUUCAAUAUUUGUUUUUUCUUUGGUAUUUGAAUAACGGUAACAAAUUAAUUCCUAUAUACUUUAUUAUAUGGCUCUAUUUUAUAUUAGAAUUAUGUAAUGUUUUAUUUAUUA